GUGUGCCUACGGGGGGCAGCAGUGAGGAAUAUUGGUCAAUGGGCUUACGCCUGAACCAGCCAAGUCGCGUGAGGGAAGACUGCCCUAUGGGUUGUAAACCUCUUUUGUCAGGGAGCAAUUGGCGCUACGUGUAGCGUUAUCGAGAGUACCUGAAGAAAAAGCAUCGGCUAACUCCGUGCCAGCAGCCGCGGUAAUACGGAGGAUGCGAGCGUUAUCCGGAUUUAUUGGGUUUAAAGGGUGCGCAGGCGGAGGUGCAAGUCAGCGGUCAAAUUGCGGGGCUCAACCCCGUACUGCCGUUGAAACUG
rnacentral:rRNA from 1 species